ensembl:lncRNA
CACACAGGUCAGGGACUGCUUUGUUUCAGUCUCUGUGUCCCUGGUGCCUGGAACAGUGUCUGGCACAUAAAUGUUACUUAACAAAUACUGGUCGAUCAAGUGACUGGCCAUCUAGUGGCAACUCUUCAUUUUAAAAAGGAGGAGGGUCACAGUAUCCCUCCACAACCCAGGCGGAGCUGGGCACCGAGGGGACGCCUGCCUCCCUGCCUUUGGGGGUGCCUUGGCUUAGGGGCACAUCAGCUGCCUGGGCCUUGGGCCUUCAGGGACCUUGGCUCAAAUCUUCCUGGUGCUGAAUCAUAGGCCGAGCUCUGGGGCCACCAACAGACAACACAGCCCAGGCAGCCUGGCUAUUGACAGAGGCCUUGCUCACGGCCCUGGACCUCAACCAGCACGUCCCAAAUGUGCUGUGUCUCUAGGCCUCCCUGGCCCCAGCCUCAGCAUCCUCCAGGAAGGGCCCAGGUGUUGGUCUUGAAAGAGAGAGGCAUCAGCACAGCCCCGGUGUCCGCUGCCUGAGCCGCCUCGGGCAGGUUGCUUUCCCACUCUGUGGGCCUCAGUUUCUCCAUCUGUACGAUGGGCGAGUUAGACCAGAGGACGUCCAGGUCCCUUGCAGGUUGACAUUCUGUGCUUGUGGCCACCAUGAACUCUGGCGUCCAGGCCUCUGCUGCAGAUCCGGUUCUUCUGCUACCGGCUUUUUGGACACCUGCCUGCUUGUGAGGUCCCCUCCCCCAGCCUCCGCAGGCGCUAGAAAUUAAUUUCCUUGCUCUUUGUAAUAGAGUCUUUGGUAGCAGCCAGCUAGUCACCAGCGCCCAGAGAAGCAUGCCUACUGGCUAUUGCCAUGGAAACUGGAACCGAGCUAACCACCUCACAGGGCCCAGCAUUGACUAUAGCUGCCACUGGGGCAAAAGUGGCUUCUGCUCCAAGUCUGGGCAGCGGUUCCCUUCCUUCAGAAUGAUUGAAUUAAAAGAUGAUGACCCCCAGGCCAUUAAGCAGGAGUUUACAAAGAUUCAUCAGAAAGUGGAUGCCCUUCUGAGCAGCCUGGAGAAAGAGCCGGCCCAACAGCCAGAGAGGCAGGAGGCACCCAAGGGGGUUUCAAGCAGCAGCAGCAGCAGCAGCUGCAAGGAUCCCCUGACUAACGUGAAGAUGGGGCCUGAGGAUGGCAGCAGCAGUGGCAGCCCCGGACACUGGGCCUAGGACGGGUCAUCCUGGAGGAGGGGUCAUCCUGGCUGAAGGUCUGGCUGAAGGUCAAGGCUCAAGGACCAGCUGGGGGUGGCUAAGGGACACUGGGGGAGGAUUAGCAGCAGCAGCAGCGCUCUCCAGCACCCUGGGCAGGGGGGUGAUGGGGCCUUCGAGGGCUCCCCUGGCCUCAUUGUAACACCAGGGCCCUCGUCCUAGAGCCAGCCUCACCAGGUUCUCUCCCGUGGUACGUGCUCACUGUUGCCCUCAACCUUAGCCUCUCCCUCAAUCCCCUGUGCCUGCAGAGGCCUCUUUCCAACCACAAUUCUUAGAGGAGUUCGAUGAAGAUCUCUCUAUUUUCCUCAUUUAACUAAGAAACCUUGUUUUGGCUAAAACAAUAAAGUUCUGUUGUCCUGCUGCA